UCCCACCGGAAAAGAACAAAAAGCCAUGCAUGACACAGAUUAAAGGAUGUGAUACACCCCGAGUAGAUCACACCUUUAGCCGUGUCAGACAUGGCUUGUUCUGAGUACGGUAGGUGG
rnacentral:miRNA from 1 species